GUGAGGGAAAGGUGAAAAGAACCCCGGGAGGGGAGUGAAAGAGAACCUGAAACCAUAUGCUUACAAACUGUAGGAGCAAGCAAGCAAUUGCAAGUGACUGCGUACUUUUUGUAGAACGGGCCAACGAGUUGCGAUAUGAUGCAAGGUUAAAUACUUAAGGUAUGGAGCCGAAGCGAAAGCGAGUCUUAAGAGGGCAAGAGUACCAUAUUGCAGACCCGAAACCAGGCGACCUAUCCAUGUCCAGAUUGAAGUUUCCGUAACAGGGAAUGGAGGAUCGAACCCACGUACGUUGAAAAGUGCGGGGAUGAGGUGUGGAUAGCGGUGAAAUUCCAAUCGAGCUUGGAGAUAGCUGGUUCUCUCCGAAAUAGCUUUAGGGCUAGCGUUUUGCAAGAUAUAUAUGGAGGUAAAGCACUGACUGUCCAAUGGGUCUUUUAGAUUACUGAGGAUUAUCAAACUAAGAAUGCCAUAUAUAGCGCAAAGCAGUCAGACUGUGAGUGAUAAGAUCCAUAGUCGAGAGGGAAAGAGCCCAGACCAACAGCUAAGGUCCCAAAAUAUAUGUUAAGUGGGAAAGGAUGUGGGAUUGCAUAGACAACCAGGAUGUUGGCUUAGAAGCAGCCAUACAUUUAAAGAGUGCGUAAUAGCUCACUGGUCGAGUGAUCCUGCGCCGAAAAUUACCGGGGCUAAAACAUAAUACCGAAGCUUUGGAUUAUACUAUAGAGUAUAGUGGUAGGAGAGCAUCGUAUACAGGAUGAAGCAGAAUCGAAAGAAAAAGUGGACCGUAUACGAGAGAGAAUGUUGGCAUGAGUAGCGAGAGGAAGGUGAGAAUCCUUCCGGCCGAAAACCUAAGGUUUCCUGAGGAAGGUUCGUCCGCUCAGGGUAAGUCGGGACCUAAGCCAAGGCCGAAAGGCGUAAGUGAUGGACAACGGGUAAUGAAUCCCGUACCACCGUAGUUGAUUGAGCGAAGGGGGGACGCAGGAGGAUGACCAGAGCACGCCGUUGGUAGAGCGUGUCCAAGCAGAAAGCGAGUAAGACUAGGCAAAUCCGGUCAUACAAUCGUGAUCUGUGAUGGGGAGUGAAAAUAAAGUAGCGAAGCUGAAUCAUUCAAACUGCCAGGAAAAGCCUCUAGCAAGACGAAGGUGCCCGUACCGCAAACCGACACAGGUAGGUGAGGAGAGAAUCCUAAGGCCAGCGAGAGAACUGUUGUUAAGGAACUCGGCAAAAUAACCCCGUAACUUAGGGAGAAGGGGAGCCUGUGAGAGCAGGCCGCAGAGAAUAGGCCCAAGCGACUGUUUACCAAAAACAUAGGUUUCUGCAAAACUGCAAAGUGAAGUAUAGGAGCUGACGCCUGCCCGGUGCUGGAAGGUUAAGGGGAAGACUUAGAGCAAUCGAAGGUUAGAACUUAAGCCCCAGUAAACGGCGGCCGUAACUAUAACGGUCCUAAGGUAGCGAAAUUCCUUGUCGGGUAAGUUCCGACCCGCACGAAAGGCGUAACGAUUUGGGCACUGUCUCAACAACAGACUCGGUGAAAUUGUAAU
rnacentral:rRNA from 1 species